rnacentral:rRNA from 1 species
UUAACGCUGAGGCGUGACGACGAGGCACUACGGUGCUGAAGUGAUAAAUGCCCAGCUUCCAGGAAAAGCCUCUAAGCAUCAGGUAACACAGAAUCGUACCCCAAACCGACACAGGUGGUCAGGUAGAGAAUACCAAGGCGCUUGAGAGAACUCGGGUGAAGGAACUAGGCAAAAUGGUGCCGUAACUUCGGGAGAAGGCACGCUGGCGCGUAGGUGGAGGGACUUGCUCCCCGAGCCGAAGCCAGUCGAAGAUACCAGCUGGCUGCAACUGUUUAUUAAAAACACAGCACUGUGCAAACACGAAAGUGGACGUAUACGGUGUGACGCCUGCCCGGUGCCGGAAGGUUAAUUGAUGGGGUUAUCCG